CAGCACAAGGCACAUGGCAGAUAGAGUGCAAACCAGUGAAGUAAACAAACAGUGCAGAUAUAAUGAUUGUAAUGCAAAAAGAGCUUAUUUUGAUUAAAGUGACUGUAUGA